rnacentral:rRNA from 1 species
UACGUGGGGUGCAAGCGUUGUCCGGAAUUAUUGGGCGUAAAGAGCUCGUAGGCGGUCUGUCGCGUCUGCUGUGAAAACUCGGGGCUUAACCCCGGGCCUGCAGUGGGUACGGGCAGGCUAGAGUUCGGUAGGGGAGACUGGAAUUCCUGGUGUAGCGGUGAAAUGCGCAGAUAUCAGGAGGAACACCGGUGGCGAAGGCGGGUCUCUGGGCCGAUACUGACGCUCAGGCGCGAUAGCGUGGGGAUCAAACAGG